GAUCUUCUCCUUCAUGGGAGAUGAUUGAAAGAUGGUUUCGGCUAUCACUUACAGAUGGGCCCGCGGUGCAUUAGCUAGUUGGUGAGGUAACGGCUCACCAAGGCAACGAUGCAUAGCCGACCUGAGAGGGUGAUCGGCCACACUGGGACUGAGACACGGCCCAGACUCCUACGGGAGGCAGCAGUAGGGAAUCUUCCGCAAUGGACGAAAGUCUGACGGAGCAACGCCGCGUGAGUGAUGAAGGCUUUCGGGUCGUAAAACUCUGUUGUUAGGGAAGAACAAGUACAAGAGUAACUGCUUGUACCUUGACGGUACCUAACCAGAAAGCCACGGCUAACUACGUGCCAGCAGCCGCGGUAAUACGUAGGUGGCAAGCGCUCUAUUAUCCGGAAUUAUUGGGCGUAAAGCGCGCGCAGGCGGUUUCUUAAGUCUGAUGUGAAUUAGCCCACGGCUCACCACCGUGGAGGGUCAUUGGAAACUGGGGAACUUGAGUGCAGAAGAGAAAAGCGGAAUUCCACGUGUAGCGGUGAAAUGCGUAGAGAUGUGGAGGAACACCAGUGGCGAAGGCGGCUUAAUUUGGUCUGUAACUGACGCU
rnacentral:rRNA from 2 species